GCCGGGCGCGGUGGCCUGUGCCUGUAGUCCUCACUAUUCAGGAGGCUGAGGCUGGAGGAUCGCUUGAUCCCAGGAGUUCUGGGCUGUAGUGCGCUAUGCCAAUCGGGUGUCCACACUAAGUUCGGUAUCAAUAUGGUGACCUCCUGGGAGCAGGGGAACCACCAGGUUGCCUAAGGAGGAGUGAACUGGCCCAAGUUGGAAACGGAGCAGGUCAAAACUCCCGUGCUGAUCGGUAGUGGGAUCGCGCCUGUGAAUAGCCACUGCACUCCAGCCUGGGCAACAAGAGUGAAACUCCGUCUCA
rnacentral:SRP_RNA from 1 species